CACUGUUUCACGACUAUAAUAGAAUGGCUAUUUUUAGUAGCUGAAGCAGAGGGAGCUCAGGGUUACUUUCAGAGUGCAUGUUAUCUCUGGUCAUCAAUGUAAAUGCAGCUGCCUCAUUACGAGACUAUAUCAACCAGGGAUCUCAGAGGUAAUGUCUCUUCCUUUUCACCUGGACAUAAAAUUGGAGAUAUUGCAAUCAAAACCCUUUUCCAUACACUAGCU